rnacentral:misc_RNA from 1 species
AAGUCGUAACAAGGUUUCCGUAGGUGAACCUGCGGAAGGAUCAUUAACGAGUUUUGAAGUGGGUUUGAUGCUGGCCUUCCAAGGCAUGUGCUCGCCCUACUCUUCAUCCACUCACACCUGUGCACCUAUAAAUACUAAAAGAUUCAUCCCCUAGACUUCGUCAGGGGUGCGGUUGAGGGAGACCUUGACCGUUGGGUUGAAUCUUUGGUGUUUACUCUUCUUAUAAACUCUUGAAUGUAAUAGAAUGUCCUAUGGCCUACGGGCUUUUAAAUCGAAAUACAACUUUCAACAACGGAUCUCUUGGCUCUC